GCCUCCUCCUCCCUAUCCAUCGCCGCCACCCCCUCCUCCUCCUCCCUCUGUCGCCGCCGCCACCUCGCCCCUCCCCUGCUCUCGUGCCCUCUCCUUCUCCCACCCCGGGCUCCAUCUUCGCCGGUCCCUUCCUGCGCUCCAUCCCUUCCUCCUCGUUUGUGGCAGGCAUCACCGCUGCUGCGGAGGGCUCCUCAAAACCGCCGCAUCCGAGACAACCCUAGAUGUGGCAGGCGACUCCAUCACCGGUCGCGUGCGGCGGAGGCCAGCCCAGAUCCGCCUCCUCCAGCCCAUCCUCUUCGUCACGCACAACGGGAAAGGUUGGGUUUGAGCUCCGCCACCCCUCCCAUGACGUUGUUCCUCGGUAGCAGACCGAGCUCUGCCUCCACACGCACCGUCCUUCCUCUUGUCGGCCCUUUGUAUGUCGGGAACGGACUCGGCGGCGUUUGCCUGGAUAGGACCUCAACGGCGACCUGCAGGUCGGCACUGAGAUGCCUGGAUAUUUAUCUAAAUAUAAGGUGUUAGAUCUCCUGUGGUACUCAGAUAUGGAUGCAUCAUGGGGCUAGAGAAGGUCCUUUUAUGUGUGAUAUCAUUUUAAUACCGGUUUCAAAUUUGCUUCAUCUUGUUUUCCCUCAUUCAUUAAGUUAUAGGAUUCUAUUUGUUUGUAUGACUUAAUGCAGAUAUGAAAUUGUUCUUGACAGAUGAUUGUAACUAAGGUCAUGUUCUAGGUAUAAAAAAUGAUCUGCUGCAUCAUGCUCUUGCAAUAACUGAUUUCGCUAUCAAGUUUACAAUCCAAUGUUGAUCUAGAAGAUAGAUGAAGAUUGAAUUUGUUCACAGUUGAUCUUGGUUCUGUACGAUCUUCAAUAUUUGGGUCUCGUAGGUCUGUCUCCCAAGAGCAACGGGAAGAAAUCUGUCAAAACAUUACUGCAUUAUAUGUAACAUAUGUCCAUUUUCAUGGAAUGAAAGGUUCUCUGUUGGUUCAUUGGCAGUUCCUAAUUUUUUUUCCUGUAGCCGGUUGAGGGAUUCCAGCAUUAGCAUAAAGAUCAAGGCGGCGGGCGGUGGCCGCGGAAAGCAGGGGUUCCACAAAUUGGCUACAUCGUCUCAAGGAGAAGAAUUCUUACAUGAUCCCUGUAACUGCUCGUUUUGUUGAUGUCUUCGCCCUAUAUGUCCAGACCUUGCUUGCCAAUAAAGUCGAAUAUGCUGGAGCAAUAGUUCUGAAACUUCAUUAAGGCAAAGUAGGCAACAUUUUUUCUUAAUGGCCUUCUUUCUCCAUCGUAUCUCAAAUGCAAGCAAGCAUGCCUUUGCUAAGGGUUAGAAGAAGCCAAGAAAUUUAUGGAAAUGAUGGCUCUAAGGGUUAGAAGAAGCCAAGAAGUAUGCGAUAGGCUUUUUUGAUAAUUUAUCAGAAGAAAGUGUAGAAGAAAAUGGAGAGGAUGAUGAAAUGACUCAAAUAGAAGUACGAAAUAUCUGCAUCAGCAAGCUAGGUUGUCAUUGGUUGGUUGAUUCAACAACAUUUUGGUGCCUUGCAAUAUGAUUUUCACAGUCGUAUCAAUGCAAGCUCAUAGGUACGUCAACAACAAGUUAAGCAGUAAGUACAAGGCAGCGAUCAGAGAGACAAAGAAUAAUCGAGUUUUGAUUGGGACCCUGUUGUGGAAGAAAUGGCUAUAUUUGAAGGGUACAAAAACUGUUUUUAGCAGCUAACUACACUUGGAAUGAGUAGCUGCUUCUGCUUGAGGACGCCAUGGACAAGUUGCUCUGGCCCUGGCGCCGCAGCCAUGGACAUGGUCCCAGAAUCUGUGUGGUGGCAUGACAUGUACUUGGAUGCCUCUGCGCGAGGCGGCGGUGGCGGGAGGGUUUCGGCUAUUGAGACCGACACCAAGCUCUUCAUCGUCAAUUUGGACUUCGGUGUUUCAAUCGAGAACGUGAAGAAUGCUUUUGCAGCUUCCUGUUCAUAGGGUACUCUUAAUUAGUGAGCUAUUUUUUCUUUGAAUGGUUAAGCGAUCCGCGAUUCACUAUGAAUGAAGUGGGAGGUCUAAGGAAACAACUAAGGUUAUAUUGCAAGGUGUGAUGAUGCCCGCCUUUUGGAGAAUGUUCAACUUUUAUAGACCUAUUAGCUUGCUAUGCUCGACGACUAAACGCUUUGUUGCUGCACUUCUGUUAUUUAUAUUCUUUUUUGAACAAUUGUCGCUCGUCUGUGUUAUAUACGAGUGAACACUGCAAUGAUCUGUUUCAGUUA